UUUUUUACAGUGUGUUUGGGGGACAGGCAGCUAGCAGAUAGUGAGGAGAUGUUUUUUACAGUGUGUUCAGGGGACAGGCAGGUAACAGAUAGUGGGGAGAUGUUUUAUGUAUGUGACAAAAUACGUUGUA